CUACGGGGUGCAGCAGUGAGGAAUAUUGCACAAUGGGGGGAACCCUGAUGCAGCAACGCCGCGUGGAGGAUGACGCAUUUCGGUGUGUAAACUCCUUUUAUAUGUCAAGAAAAUGACGGUAGCAUAUGAAUAAGCACCGGCUAACUCCGUGCCAGCAGCCGCGGUAAUGCGGAGGGUGCAAGCGUUACUCGGAAUCACUGGGCGUAAAGGACGCGUAGGCGGGUUGGAAAGUCAGGUGUGAAAUCCUACAGCUUAACUGUAGAACUGCACUUGAAACUUCUAAUCUAGAGUAUGGGAGGGGGAGAUGGAAUUAGUGGUGUAGGGGUAAAAUCCGUAGAUAUCACUAGGAAUACCUAAAGCGAAGGCGAUCUCCUGGAACACUACUGACGCUAAGGCGUGAAAGCGUGGGGAGCAAACAGGAUUAGAUACCCGAGUAGUC
rnacentral:rRNA from 1 species